CCUGGUGGCUCAGAUGAUAAAGUGUCUGCCUGCAAUGCAGAACACCUGGGUUCAAUUCCUGGGUCAGGA
rnacentral:tRNA from 1 species